CCUACGGGAGUCAGCAGUGGGGAAUAUUGGACAAUGGGCGAAAGCCUGAUCCAGCCAUGCCGCGUGUGUGAAGAAGGCCUUCGGGUUGUAAAGCACUUUCAGUUGGGAAGAAAGCCUUGGGGCUAAUACCCUCGAGGAAGGACAUCACCCACAGAAGAAGCACCGGCUAACUCCGUGCCAGCAGCCGCGGUAAUACGGAGGGUGCGAGCGUUAAUCGGAAUUACUGGGCGUAAAGCGCGCGUAGGCGGUCUGAUAAGCCGGUUGUGAAAGCCCCGGGCUCAACCUGGGAACGGCAUCCGGAACUGUCAGGCUAGAGUGCAGGAGAGGAAGGUAGAAUUCCCGGUGUAGCGGUGAAAUGCGUAGAGAUCGGGAGGAAUACCAGUGGCGAAGGCGGCCUUCUGGACUGACACUGACGCUGAGGUGCGAAAGCGUGGGUAGCAAACAGGAUUAGAUACCCGUGUCGUC
rnacentral:rRNA from 1 species